AUUUAAUGGGAAGCAGAUGUCUCACAGACACCUCAAGCUCAACGUCCUGUUCCCACCCUCUCACUUUCUAUUGAAACUGUCUCUGCUGUCUGUACUCCCUUCCUUGUUCUUUUGCACCUGGACUAGACAGAAGACUACAGUUCAAUAAGAAGGAAACACAUUCAUUUUCAGUAUUGUUAAUAAAGAAGCUUACCUAAAAGAAGGAAAUCAAAACAAGUAUAGAGAGAGCUACCAAUAGGAGCAAAAAAAACAAACAAAAACAACAACAACAACAAAAAUAAAACAAAAAAACCGUUUUCACGAGGAACUUUGAGGAUACAAUCAUCUCUGCUUGGGAGCCACUGCCACAGAAUACAAAAGAAAUGAACAUGAAGAGGUUUGCAUUUUUCUUGCUGCACAUUAGGCUAUUAAACAUCCUGCACACGUUCUGUGGCUUCUUUCAGAUAAUCUACACUGCAACUAGGGGAGGCUAUUGAAUGUGAUGGUCCCCUCAGAUGCCUAGAGGAAGAUGAACAAUGGUAAUCAGAUAUCCUAAAGUUAUCUUUAGGGCACUGGCAAAAUAGCAGCAAUGCCUGGUGGAAGCUGACUUUGUGCAUACACAUGAGAGCCCACAGAAAACUUCAAACUUCAUGGGAAAUAAAACCUUCAGCUGCAGCUAAGAAUUUGGAGGUUACUGAAGGAGGUUACUUUUUCAAGAGCAGAAGUAAGGAUUCCACUGAAUUUGCUCACCAAAGAUAAGUCAGCAAAGAAAACUUACUGAAGAAUACAGGAGCCUGUGAGGUGAGUAACAUUAUUAUGUGAUUUAACAAAUGAGGAAACUAAAGUCCUUAAAAAUGGUGGCUUUUGUUGACAUAUGUUGUUUUGAAUGCUUUCCUUCCUGUUCCCCAUGAUUUGGCAGGAGUUCCUUGGGAAACGACUCCUCCACUGAAUGCAAUCAAGUUAAAACUAUCAAGCCAUAUACUUUUCUGCCUUCUACAAGAAUAAAUGAUGGUCAAAUGUUCUUUCUUUCAGGAACAUAAAUCUUAAGCAGGCUUACAUAAGGAAGGGAAGUGGUUGAAUCUGAGGUAAUUCCAUGGUGGACUUUGAAGAAAGCCUUCCAUGAGUUCCCAGUCCAUAUCCUCCAAAAGGUUUCUUGGAUAUGCUUUAUUUAUGCCUAAUUUUCCAGUUUUCUCUUUAAUAUUGUGUGCUCUAAUAUUUUAUUCUCUCUCUUUUUUUUGCUUCACUUAGUUAGAAUUUCUUUCAGCCAAUGAAGAAUUCUAUUGAGAAGCAUGAAUCUGUAAUUUUGCAUAUUCCAGAAUAGUUAUGAUCUAAACAUUACAUCCUGCUGUAUCCCUAAGUACUUGAUGCAGUUAAGAAGUAUGACAUAAUUAUGUCCAUUUACCCAUGUAUAGUUAUCAAGUAAUAAUUAUUGUUUUCCCCUGCCUAUUCUAGAAAAGAUUUUAAGUAGCUGUGUUUUUAAAUUUAGUAAUUUUUAACUUGAAUCUCCACUGUUCUCAGACAGCAUAUCAGCUCCUGCUUUCCAGACAAACUUCCUGGGUCUUGGGAAGAAGAAAGCCUCAGACUAAGAACUCUCUCUGGACUCAGACAGCCUGAAUUCAAAUCCCAUCUCUAUUCUUACUAGUCAUAUGAACACAGGAUAGUGAAGAAUGAAAGAGAAGCAAAACAGAUCCUGCAGGUUGUGCUCACCACGGUGAAAAUCAUUAUUUGCAACUCCCACAGGAGAACCAUAUCCAUUCAGCUCACUUUGGACCACCUGUGGAGCCUGAUAACCAGGGAACAGAGAACCUGUUGAGAUCCAAAUUUGUGUGCCAGGAUCACAAACUCAUCUGAAGCAGAUGCCACGUGUUACACUGUUAUGUCUCUCAGAGACUCCAGCACUUUGAAAGUAUUAGGCCUUGCUUAUUGAGAUGAAUAUUUUUUUCUAGGCAUGUCCCAAAGUUCUCAGCAUAGCUACAACCCUGAUUUUCACAGGAUUUUCAUUAAAAUUAGGUUCUAGAGCAUUACUUCCCUAAUGUGCAAUGCAACUUACGUUUAGUUUUCAAAUCAAAAUUAGUUUUGUUUUUCCACUGUCUUUGUCUUUGAAAAUAUUGAACUUGGGAUUUCCAAAAUUAUAAUUAGCAAUUAUUUUUACAUAUCUUUUAUAUACAUAACUUUUACAAUGGCUGCCAUUAUCAUGUAGGUUCUUAGGAAGUGUUUCUGAUCCUUGUAAAUAAAAGUGAAAGAAGAAAUCUUUACUGCUUGCUGACCCAUGUGACUAACCUUGAAAUCAGAGAGGCAGAUUCAUUUAAAACAAACUUGCAAACUGUUAAGCAAAGUACUGAAUCUCUGUGACUUGACCAAAAGUAAUUCAGACUUGACUAUUCCAGGCUCCCUUCUAUCUCUGUAGCAACCCAUGCAUCAUAGACUCCAGUUGCAAUGGAUGGUCAAGGAAUCUGCUGUGCCUUUUGAGUCUCUCCAUUUUAUAUUGCCAAAUUUAUCUUCCUUUAAUACUUCACUUCACAUAAGACACUAAGAUAAACAAGGAUGCAACUCACUUAUAUUUCAAAAUAGUACCUAGUGGUUAAAAGUACUUGUUCUGAAAGCAACUCUAUUUUUCUAGUUCUAACAUGUCUCCAACUAGUUAUCUCACCUUGAGCUUGGCACAUAAUCACUCCAUCUUACUUUUGCAUCUGUGACACAAGAAAAAUACCACCCACCUCAACAUAGAUCUUAUGAAGAUUAAAAUAAGAUUAUGAAAGUAAAAUGCUCAGCACAAUGUCUAAACGAAAAUAAAUGCUCAGCAAGUAGGAGCUACUAUAAUUAUUAUCCAGAUCAAAUAUUUUCUCCUCUAUGAAGCUUUCUUAUUCUUCCCCAGCUGGAAUUACUUAUUUUCUUCCUUGCUUUCUACACCACACUUUAGUCACCACCAUGCUGGCACUUGUCUCACCGCAUUAUAAUUAUUUAUGUGCCUGUGUUCCAUAACCAGAAUAUGGGACUUAAGCUUCUUUAUACCUCCAGCAUAAUUGUUUCAUGUGUGCUUUUAGGUAAUGGAGUAAAAUGGAUGAAUGAGUGAAUGCGACUAUAGUACUAAAUGCUCUUAGAUAAAGAUGUAAUUAUUCUUAAGUGAUAAAAUUAUUCGAACAUGAGUAGUUCAGAUAAUGAGAGACUGUCAUAGAAUUACUUGAUAAAAUCUAGUCAAUAAAAUGGCUUGGCAAUAUAACCUUUAUGAUUUCUUUAAACAAUCAUUCAUUUCUUUCUGAAGAUGAGAAGAGGAGAUUCCUUCUCCCAUCUUUAUAUUUCAACAAUGAUUAGAAAACAAAUUGAUCUCUGGGAUCAGUGCCCAAUACCAUUAAAGUGGUAUACAUCUUACAAUUCUUAAUUAAUUUGUGGCAUACAUAUACCAGUCUCCACAGCCAGCUUCAUCUGCAUACAGCAGCAUAAUCACUUUUUUCCUUAUAGUAAAGACAUAUUAUGAGUCAUCAAAGUCUUCUCCGGGGGUUGUGGUUAUCAUCUGGUAAUCACACCCUUGGGAGGUUAAAAACACUUAUCUUUGGAUCAUGACUUGCAAUGCCCCAGGGGUGUGAUUAUCUCAGGCAACUCACACUUUCUGUCAUGCCUAAUUGCUUAAUUAUUAUAGCUGCAAGUUCACACCACCAUACAGGAACUCA
rnacentral:lncRNA from 10 species